rnacentral:misc_RNA from 1 species
AACGCACAUUGCGCCCGCCAGCACUCUGGCGGGCAUGCCUGUCCGAGCGUCAUUUAUCAACCCUCGGGACCGCCCCCGCGACCCAGCGUCGCCCGGGCGGGCCCGGUGUUGGGGGCCGGCCCCGGCCGCCCCCGAAACGCAGUGGCGACCUCGCCGCGGCCUCCCGUGCGCAGCAGCAGCGGAAGCAGAACCUCGCACCGGGGCCGCGGAGGGCGGUCACGCCGUAAAGCGCGCGCGGCCCCCCCCCUCGGGGGUGGGCGCGCACCUGGAGUUGACCUCGGAUCAGGUAGGGGUACCCGCUGAACUUAA